UGAUGCGUAGCUCAGCCGGUAGAGCAGCUGGCUUUUAAUCAGUAGGUGAAACGCUCGAUUCUCGGCAG
rnacentral:tRNA from 1 species